rnacentral:lncRNA from 1 species
GUUCGUUCAGCUUUGUGCACCAUUGGAACGUUCGAAGUUGGAAGUUGGAAGUUUGAAGUUCGAAGUUAGUUGGGACCCAAAGUCCGCUGCUCCCGCUGCUGCUGCUGGCCCGCGGCUCGUAUAAAAUUUAAAAGUCUUCUGUCCGGACCGAAAUUGAGAUCGAAAAAUACCUAUAUACACCCAUGUACACAUGUAUGAAAUACCUCAAGAUAAUAUGGAUCCGUAUAAAAGUGGUUCAACUAAUUGGAAAUGCAGAUAGGCGAGACGAAUGACUACCGUGUUGCAGCUAUCAGCUGGAUAUGUAUGAGGUUUUCCUCUUCGAUGUGGAAUAAAUAAACGAAUCAUAAUUGAAGAAGAGGGAAAAUCCAAAGAAGGAGAAAAAACAAAAUGGGAAAGAGGAAAAAAACAGGAAUGCCCUGACUGAGAGCCGCUGCAAAAAU